CAAAAUGUUGCUUUAAUUUUUGUGCAGGUCUAACAAAGAUCAAUGAUACUGGGAGCCUACAUGAGAUGGCUGUAUCGUGUUCUGCUAGGAGAUGUGUUGCAUGGUUGUUAUGUCAACACUUUUUAGGUGAAAACCUUGAUUGCAGUGUUAUUUUAAGGUAUAAGAUAUAAUGGAACGCUAUUUAUUUCUUAGCAUGCCAGGCCUAAAUGAUCCGGCAAGUGAUCAACAGGCUAAAUAUUUGCCUGCCUUUGAAAGUAGAAUAUCGUGGU
rnacentral:lncRNA from 1 species